GCUGGAUCAUAAAUAAGCCCUAGGGUUUAUCUAUAUAAUGGUGUAAACCCGAUGAAGCAGCAUCUUCCACCACCUUUAGCUUUUUCGCGCGACCGUAAGCUUUUCGUCAUCACAUCACCAUGAGAGCCAAGUGGAAGAAGAAGCGUAUGAGAAGAUUGAAGCGAAAGCGCCGAAAGAUGAGGCAGAGAUCCAAGUAGACAGUGAAAUCUGUGGGUUCUGUUUUAGUUUUUGGUUUACUUUCUUAUUUCGAUCUCUUGAAUCGGUGUUAAUCCAGCAGUGGAUGGUUUUUAGAUUUUUAAAUUGUUGAGAACAGUUUACUGAUUUCUAUAGAAUGGGUAUUUUUUCAA